CGCGCAGGCUGUAGAUCAAGUCAGCUGUGAAAUGUCUGGGCUUAACCCGGGCAUGCGGUUGAAACUGAUGUACUGGAGUGCUGUAGAGGCAAGUGGAAUUCCCAGUGUAGCGGUGAAAUGCGUAGAUAUUGGGAAGAACACCGGUGGCGAAGGCGACUUGCUGGGCAACAACUGACGCUGAGGCGCGAAAGCCAGGGGAGCAAACG
rnacentral:rRNA from 1 species